GCGAAACUGCGAAUGGCUCAUUAAAUCAGUUAUUGUUUAUUUGAUAGUACCUUACUACUUGGAUAACCGUGGUAAUUCUAGAGCUAAUACAUGCUAAAAACCUCGACUUCGGAAGGGGUGUAUUUAUUAGAUUAAAAACCAAUGCCCUUCGGGGCUCUAUGGUGAUUCAUAAUAACUAUACGGAUCGCACGGCCUUGCGCUGGCGACGGCUCAUUCAAAUUUCUGCCCUAUCAACUUUCGACGGCUGGGUAGUGGCCAGCCGUGGUGAUAACGGGUAACGGAGGGUUAGGGCUCGACCCCGGAGAAAACGCCUGAGAAACGGCGUUUACAUCCAAGGAAGGCAGCAGGCGCGCAAAUUACCCAAUGCCGACUCGGCGAGGUAGUGACGAUAAAUACCGGUACGGGGCUCUUUCGGGUCUCGUAACUGGAAUGAGUACAAUUUAAAUCCCUUAACGAGGAACAACUGGAGGGCAAGUCUGGUGCCAGCAGCCGCGGUAAUUCCAGCUCCAGUAGCGUAUAUUAAAAUUGUUGGAGUUAAAAAGCUCGUAGUUGAACUUUGGGCCUGGCUGGCCGGUCCGCCUCAUCGCGUGUACUGGUUCGGCCGGGCCUUUCCCUCCGGGGAACCCCAUGCCCUUCACUGGGCGUGGCGGGGAACCGGGACUUUUACUUUGAAAAAAUUAAAGUGUUCAAAGCAGGCCUAUGCUCGAAUACAUUAGCAUGGAAUAAUAAAAUAGGACGUGUGGUUCUAUUUUGUUGGUUUCUAGGACCGCCGUAAUGAUUAAUAGGGACAGUCGGGGGCGUCAGUAUUCAAUUGUCAGAGGUGAAAUUCUUGGAUUUAUUGAAGACUAACUACUGCGAAGGCAUUCGUCAAGGAUGUUUUCAUUAAUCAGGAACGAAAGUUAGGGGAUCGAAGACGAUCAGAUACCGUCGUAGUCUUAACCGUAAACUAUGAUUUCUAGGGAUCGGACGGUGUUAUUUAUUGACCUGUCCGGCACCUUACACGAAAGUAUAAGAUAA
rnacentral:rRNA from 1 species